rnacentral:rRNA from 1 species
CCUACGGGUGGCAGCAGUAGGGAAUCUUGCGCAAUGGGCGAAAGCCUGACGCAGCAACACCGCGUGAAUGUUAAGCCCUUCGCGGUGUAAAGUUCUGUCAAUUGGGACGAUUUUUGACUGUACCUAUAACUGAAGCACCGGCUAACUCCGUGCCAGCAGCCGUGGUAAUACGGGGGGUGCGAGCGUUGUCCGGAUUCAUUGGGCGUAAAGCGUUCGUAGACGGGAAGGUAAGUCUGAUGUUAAAGCCCGGGGCUCAACUGCGGUACGGCAUUGGAUACUAUCUAGCUAGAAUGUGGUAGAGGUAAAGGGAAUUCCUGGUGUAGCGGUGAAAUGCGUAGAUAUCAGGAGGAACAUCGAUGGCGAAAGCGCUUUACUGGACCAUUAUUGACGCUGAGGAACGAAAGCCAGGGGAGCAAAUGGGAUUAGAUACCCCGGUAGUC